rnacentral:misc_RNA from 1 species
AAAAAAAAGAUAGAGAAAAACUUGGAAGGAAUGUGGAAUCAGAGGAAAUGAGGCUUUUUGUCGACUCAUCACAUACAAAAAGCUUAAUACAGUAGUAAUUAAUUCUAUGGAGAUUUCUUUUUUGCUCUCUGUGGCUUUUUGUUUUUUAAUAAUUUCCCCUUGAGCCUUAUCCCUUGGUGCAAAUGGAAAGCAGUCAAAUUUUUUUUCCUGUGUUUUGGCAUUUUGCAGGAUAAACAGGCCCACCAUCAACUACUCUAGUAUAAAACAUUAGCUCCAUAACCCCCCAUUUAUAUAUAUGCAAAACCCACCAAGCUCAUUCUGGUUUUUCUCAAACUUCUGUUGCCAAUUUUGGAGAACAUGAAGCCACAGCAUCUGCAACUGUAAGGAAGAUUUUGUCCUCGCCAAUUGUAUUUGCAAAAUUGGACGCAUGGAGCUUGUCAAUCACCACAGGACCAGGAUUUGCCAGAAUAAGCUGAACAUCCUUCUUCUGGAGGCUCUUGUAUAACUCUUCCAAGGCAUGGAUGCCACUGGUGUCAAUGUCAGUAACAGCUGUAGAAAAGUUCAAAAACAUUAGGAAAGAAACGAACAACCUAAAGGGUGCUUCAUCGUUCAACAAAUAAAAUCAACUUACGAGACAUCUCCACUAUCAAAAACUGGAUUUUCGGUUGGUAUGAUGCUUUUAACUGUUCUUCCUCAUCUGUCAACCAUCUCAGUAUCCUGCAAGAAAUUUGAUUUUUAUCCUUUCCAAAAUUACUGCAAAAAUUGACCCAUAUAUCAGUAAGUUAUGUUAAUUUUUUCAAUUGCCAAUCAUUCUUGGGCACUUUGUCAAAACAAGUCUUUAUAUACAAUGGAGUUAAGUUACCAACUAUAGAUUUUAAGCUCUAGGAUUGUUUAAACAAUAUAUAGGAUUCCACAUAAAUCACACAGCUAAGACAAAAAGAUGUCUUUACCUCUCUCUAACAUAAUUGGAAUUUGAAAAGUAAAUUGCCGAAUCAACUCUCACAAUCAAAACACCCUGAACCAUGGUUGCUCCUGGAUACUGUUGAAUGUUUCUGUACACAGUUGUCCCAGGUAGCUUCCCAAGAAUAGCAGUCCGGGGCCUGGUAACUUGUAGGAGAAUUUUGGCGAAGGAUAUUGAGACCGCAAUCAAGAGGCCUUUCUCCACAGAUGAAAAAACUACACCAAAGAAGGCUCCCAUGCAAGCAAUGAAAUCAAAUUUAUCUAUCUUCCAUAUCAAAAUUGCUGCCUCAAAAUCAAUUAGGCCAACGACAGCAGAUAUAAUAAUGGCAGCAAGAAUAGCGUUUGGGGUAUACUUGAAAAGCGGUGUGAUAAAUUGCAAGGUGAGAAAUACAACACAAGACAUAACAAUGUUGGAGAAAGCAGUUUGGCAGCCAGCCAUGUAAUUCACAGCUGAACGAGAAAAUGAACCUGUUGCCACAUAGCAAGAAGUCAUCGAACCAACAAUAUUCAUGGUUCCUAGUGCUACCAUUUCUUUGUUUCCAUCUAGUUGAUAGUCCUUCAUGGCAGCAAAUGUUCUUCCAAUUGCUAUGGCUUCCGUUAAUGCUAUCAUUCCAGCCACAACUCCAAUCUUAAAACCUUUUGAAAGGUAGUGACCACUGAAAUAUAUUUCCUUCACAGAGGAGGGAUUUAUUCCUUUCUCUAUGUGUUUCACAAUUUGAACCCCUUGCUUAUCUGCACGGGUUAUAAACACAAAAAAAGUUGACAUAAUAACAGAUAUCAGUGGCGCAAUUGCAGGCACCCAGAAGAGUUUCUUGUUCUUUUUUCCAAUGUACUUGGCAAAUAGGAGGAAAGCUAAAAAGCUCACACCAAUAACUAUAGUCUGCCAGUUCCAUCCAUGAUGGGCUGAGACAAACACUGAGUGCAAUACGGAAACUAUAUCAGUUUUCUUUGUGAAAUCUUUUAUUCCAAGAAGAAGCUUAAGCUGCUGGAGUGCAAUUGUGAUGGCAGCUCCACCCAUGAAACCAACAACAGCAGCAUGUGAUAAGAAGUCAAUCAAGAAGCCCAACCUGAAAAAUCCAAGGGUUGCUUGGGUGAUUCCUGCAAAAAAGGUAGCUGUGAAUGCUAGCCUCCGAUAUGUUUCUGCAUCCUUUUUGGAAUCAACUUCAUUCUCAAGCAGAGUCCCCAUCAAGAGAGAAACCACAGCUACUGGUCCUAUUGCUAUAUCUCUAGAACUACCCAUGAAAGCAUAUAUCAAUGGUGGAACAAAGCUGGUGUACAAUCCAUACUGAGGGUCCAAAUUUGCAAGUUUUGCAUACCCAAUAUCCUGAGGAAUGCAG